GACGAACGCUGGCGGCGUGCUUAACACAUGCAAGUCGAACGGAAAGGCCCUGCUUUUGUGGGGUGCUCGAGUGGCGAACGGGUGAGUAACACGUGAGUAACCUGCCCUUGACUUUGGGAUAACUUCAGGAAACUGGGGCUAAUACCGGAUAGGAGCUCCUGCUGCAUGGUGGGGGUUGGAAAGUUUCGGCGGUUGGGGAUGGACUCGCGGCUUAUCAGCUUGUUGGUGGGGUAGUGGCUUACCAAGGCUUUGACGGGUAGCCGGCCUGAGAGGGUGACCGGCCACAUUGGGACUGAGAUACGGCCCAGACUCCUACGGGAGGCAGCAGUGGGGAAUAUUGCACAAUGGGCGGAAGCCUGAUGCAGCAACGCCGCGUGCGGGAUGACGGCCUUCGGGUUGUAAACCGCUUUCGCCUGUGACGAAGCGUGAGUGACGGUAAUGGGUAAAGAAGCACCGGCUAACUACGUGCCAGCAGCCGCGGUGAUACGUAGGGUGCGAGCGUUGUCCGGAUUUAUUGGGCGUAAAGGGCUCGUAGGUGGUUGAUCGCGUCGGAAGUGUAAUCUUGGGGCUUAACCCUGAGCGUGCUUUCGAUACGGGUUGACUUGAGGAAGGUAGGGGAGAAUGGAAUUCCUGGUGGAGCGGUGGAAUGCGCAGAUAUCAGGAGGAACACCAGUGGCGAAGGCGGUUCUCUGGGCCUUUCCUGACGCUGAGGAGCGAAAGCGUGGGGAGCGAACAGGCUUAGAUACCCUGGUAGUCCACGCUGUAAACGGUGGGUACUAGGUGUGGGGUCCAUUCCACGGGUUCCGUGCCGUAGCUAACGCUUUAAGUACCCCGCCUGGGGAGUACGGCCGCAAGGCUAAAACUCAAUGGAAUUGACGGGGCCCCGCACAAGCGGCGGAGCAUGCGGAUUAAUUCGAUGCAACGCGUAGAACCUUACCUGGGUUUGACAUGGAUCGGGAGUGCUCAGAGAUGGGUGUGCCUCUUUUGGGGUCGGUUCACAGGUGGUGCAUGGCUGUCGUCAGCUCGUGUCGUGAGAUGUUGGGUUAAGUCCCGCAACGAGCGCAACCCUUGUUCACUGUUGCCAGCACGUUAUGGUGGGGACUCAGUGGAGACCGCCGGGGUCAACUCGGAGGAAGGUGGGGAUGACGUCAAGUCAUCAUGCCCCUUAUGUCCAGGGCUUCACGCAUGCUACAAUGGCUGGUACAGAGAGUGGCGAGCCUGUGAGGGUGAGCGAAUCUCGGAAAGCCGGUCUCAGUUCGGAUUGGGGUCCGCAACUCGACCUCAUGAAGUCGGAGUCGCUAGUAAUCGCAGAUCAGCAACGCUGCGGUGAAUACGUUCCCGGGGCU
rnacentral:rRNA from 1 species